AAGUCGUAACAAGGUUUCCGUAGGUGAACCUGCGGAAGGAUCAUUACCGAGUUAGGGUCUCUCAGGCCCGACCUCCAACCCUGUGUAUAUUCUACCCUGUUGCUUUGGCGGGCCCGCCUUAUCGGGGGCCGUCGGGGGCUAUUUGGCCCCUGAUCAGUGCCCGCCAGUAGCCUUCUUCAAAAACUCUUGUAUAACUGUGUUGUCUGAGUACUAAUUAAAAUCGUUAAAACUUUCAACAACGGAUCUCUUGGUUCUG
rnacentral:misc_RNA from 1 species